rnacentral:rRNA from 1 species
AUUGCUCGAUGAAGUGCUUACUGCAUUUUUUCUUACACAUGUGUUUUUCUUUUUUUGAAAACUUUGCUUUGGUAGGCCUUCUAUAUGGGGCCUGCCAGAGAUUAAACUCAACCAAAUUUUAUUUAAUGUCAACCGAUUAUUUAAUAGUCAAAACUUUCAACAACGGAUCUCUUGGUUCUCGCAUCGAUGAAGAACGCAGCGAAAUGCGAUAAGUAAUAUGAAUUGCAGAUAUUCGUGAAUCAUCGAAUCUUUGAACGCACAUUGCGCCCUUUGGUAUUCCAAAGGGCAUGCCUGUUUGAGCGUCAUUUCUCCCUCAAACCCUCGGGUUUGGUGUUGAGCGAUACGCUGGGUUUGCUUGAAAGAAAGGCGGAGUAUAAACUAAUGGAUAGGUUUUUUCCACUCAUUGGUACAAACUCCAAAACUUCUUCCAAAUUCGACCUCAAAUCAGGUAGGACUACCCGCUGAACUUAAGCAUAUCAAUAAGCGGAGGAA